GAUGAACGCUGGCGGCGUGCCUAAUACAUGCAAGUCGAGCGAACGGACGAGAAGCUUGCUUCUCUGAUGUUAGCGGCGGACGGGUGAGUAACACGUGGAUAACCUACCUAUAAGACUGGGAUAACUUCGGGAAACCGUAGCUAAUACCGGAUAAUAUUUUGAACCGCAUGGUUCAAAAGUGAAAGACGGUCUUGCUGUCACUUAUAGAUGGAUCCGCGCUGCAUUAGCUAGUUGGUAAGGUAACGGCUUACCAAGGCAACGAUGCAUAGCCGACCUGAGAGGGUGAUCGGCCACACUGGAACUGAGACACGGUCCAGACUCCUACGGGAGGCAGCAGUAGGGAAUCUUCCGCAAUGGGCGAAAGCCUGACGGAGCAACGCCGCGUGAGUGAUGAAGGUCUUCGGAUCGUAAAACUCUGUUAUUAGGGAAGAACAUAUGUGUAAGUAACUGUGCACAUCUUGACGGUACCUAAUCAGAAAGCCACGGCUAACUACGUGCCAGCAGCCGCGGUAAUACGUAGGUGGCAAGCGUUAUCCGGAAUUAUUGGGCGUAAAGCGCGCGUAGGCGGUUUUUUAAGUCUGAUGUGAAAGCCCACGGCUCAACCGUGGAGGGUCAUUGGAAACUGGAAAACUUGAGUGCAGAAGAGGAAAGUGGAAUUCCAUGUGUAGCGGUGAAAUGCGCAGAGAUAUGGAGGAACACCAGUGGCGAAGGCGACUUUCUGGUCUGUAACUGACGCUGAUGUGCGAAAGCGUGGGGAUCAAACAGGAUUAGAUACCCUGGUAGUCCACGCCGUAAACGAUGAGUGCUAAGUGUUAGGGGGUUUCCGCCCCUUAGUGCUGCAGCUAACGCAUUAAGCACUCCGCCUGGGGAGUACGACCGCAAGGUUGAAACUCAAAGGAAUUGACGGGGACCCGCACAAGCGGUGGAGCAUGUGGUUUAAUUCGAAGCAACGCGAAGAACCUUACCAAAUCUUGACAUCCUUUGACAACUCUAGAGAUAGAGCCUUCCCCUUCGGGGGACAAAGUGACAGGUGGUGCAUGGUUGUCGUCAGCUCGUGUCGUGAGAUGUUGGGUUAAGUCCCGCAACGAGCGCAACCCUUAAGCUUAGUUGCCAUCAUUAAGUUGGGCACUCUAAGUUGACUGCCGGUGACAAACCGGAGAAAGGUGGGGAUGACGUCAAAUCAUCAUGCCCCUUAUGAUUUGGGCUACACACGUGCUACAAUGGACAAUACAAAGGGCAGCGAAACCGCGAGGUCAAGCAAAUCCCAUAAAGUUGUUCUCAGUUCGGAUUGUAGUCUGCAACUCGACUACAUGAAGCUGGAAUCGCUAGUAAUCGUAGAUCAGCAUGCUACGGUGAAUACGUUCCCGGGUCU
rnacentral:rRNA from 1 species